rnacentral:rRNA from 1 species
GUCAGGUAGCAAGGGCACAGGGCGGAUGCCUUGGCUCUGGGAAGCGAAGAAGGACGUGGCAAGCUGCGAUAAGCCUCGGGGAAGAGCAAACAUCUUUUGAUCCGGGGAUUUCCCAAUGGGGCAACCCGCAUGGCUGUUGAGGCCAUGCACUGUUAAGUGAAUACAUAGCUUAGCAGGGCGAACUCGGGGAACUGAAACAUCUCAGUACCCGAAGGAAAAGAAAUCAAGCGAGAUUCUGCUAGUAGCGGCGAGCGAACGCGGAAGAGCCCAAACCGCCGGGUGCGCCCGGCGGGGUUGAAGGGCCGCCAUUAAAGGAUAAUCGGAGGAUUAGCUGAAGUGCCUGGGAAGGUACGGCACAGAGGGUUAGACCCCCGUAAGCGAAAGUCUGAGGAUGUCCGAGGCGGUACCUGAGUAGGACGGGACACGAGAAAUCCUGUUUGAAUCCGGGGGGACCACCCUCCAAGGCUAAAUAUUACCCGGAGACCGAUAGUGUACCAGUACCGUGAGGGAAAGGUGAAAAGCACCUCGAACAGAGGAGUGAAAUAGAUCCUGAAACCCUGUGUCUACAAGCAGUGGAAGCCUUAUAUUAGAGGCUAGUUUCCAGGUUCUAGAAGCUGGAAGUCAGAUGCUGAAGGCUGGAGAGAAACACAUUCUUGAUUCAUUUUGAGGAUGUUGUAGUUUUCUGGAAUUUAGUAUUUAAGAGUCUGGCAACUGGAGUCUGGCAUCUAGCCUCUAAGCGGGGCGACCGCGUGCCUUUUGCAUAAUGAGCCAACGAGUUGUCUGUCGGUGGCAGGUUAAGUUUUUAACGGAGCCACAGCGAAAGCGAGUCUGAAGUGGGCGCGAGUCAUCGGCAACAGACCCGAAACCGAGUGAUCUACCCCUGUCCAGGUUGAAGCCUGGGUAAGACCAGGUGGAGGACCGAACCGCUGAGCCUUAAAACGUUCUCGGAUGAGGUUGGGGUAGGAGUGAAAGGCUAAUCAAACUCGGAGAUAGCUGGUUCUCCCCGAAAUAUAUUGAGGUAUAGCCUCGUGACAGACCGCCGGAGGUAGAGCACUGGAUGGACUAGGGCCCCCACCAGGGUACCAAACCCAACCAAACUGCGAAUGCCGGCGAGUUGUUUCACGGGAGUCAGACGGCGGGAGCUAACUUCCGUCGUCGAAAGGGAAACAACCCAGACCAUCAGCUAAGGCCCCCAAGUCAUGACUAAGUGGGAAAGGAAGUGGGAGCGCCCAGACAGCCAGGAGGUUGGCUUAGAAGCAGCCACCCUUUAAAGAAAGCGUAACAGCUCACUGGUCAAGCGAGCCUGCACCGAAAAUAUAACGGGGCUCAAGUCAUGCGCCGAAGCUGUGGGAUUAGAGGCUGGAUUCUAGAAACUAGAUUCUAGAGAGGUAACAAAUGAGUGUUGAAAGUUUGAAGGUGUAUUAAAAAAGCUAUGAUCUGGCUUUGGAGAUACAUGGAAAAACUCUUCAGUUUCCUAAAAUGGAGCAAUACGGAGGUCUUGCGGAUCAAUUAAGACGAUCCAGCAAAUCUGUAGCUGCCAAUAUAACUGAAGGUUAUGGUAAACAGGAGUUUUAUCCAAAAGAAUUCAAACGAUUCCUGAUCACUGCACUAGCAAGCUGUGAUGAGACAAUACUCUGGUUAAAGAUGAGCUGCGAUUUAGGAUAUUUUCCGGAGGCAGAAACUCAAAAGUUUCUGUCUGCAUAUUCAGAAGUUGGGAAAAUGCUAAGUGGUCUUAUCAAAAAAGUAUCUGGCAACUAGUAUCUAGUAUCUAGCUUCUAAUCGGUAGGGGAGCGUUCCCUGUGCGGUGAAGCUGAACCGGAAGGAUCAGUGGAGCGCAGGGAAGUGAGGAUGUUGGCAUAAGUAACGAAAAUGCGAGUGAGAAACUCGCACGCCGAAAGCCCAAGGUUUCCCGGGCCAUGUUAUUCAGCCCGGGGUUAGUCGGCACCUAAGACGAGGCCGAAAGGCGUAGUCGAUGGCAAACCGGUUCAUAUUCCGGUACUUGCACGUGCGCGUGAUGGAGGGACGCAGGAGGAUAGGCCGUCCAGGUGAUGGAUGUCCUGGUUCAAGGCAUUAGGCGGAAGUCCCAGGUAAAUCCGGGACUUCAUUAAACGCCGAGAGCUGAUGACGAGAGGCUUUGCUUCGCAAAGCGGUCGAUUCCACACUGCCAAGAAAAGCUUCUAAGCAUAGCACGGGCGAACCGUACCCCAAACCGACACAGGUGGGCGGGUAGAGAAUACCAAGGCGCUUGAGGGAAAUCAUGUUAAGGAACUCUGCAAAUUGACUCCGUAACUUCGGAAGAAGGAGUGCCUGCAGUGGUGAAGGGACUUGCUCCCUGAGCUUCAGCAGGCCGCAGUGACCAGGCCCAGCCGACUGUUUAGCAAAAACACAGCACUCUGCUAAAUCGCAAGAUGAUGUAUAGGGUGUGACGCCUGCCCGGUGCCGGAAGGUUAAGGGGAGGGGUUACCCCUCACUUAGAUUAUUUGAGAGUCUCUAUGUUUUA